rnacentral:lncRNA from 1 species
UGCACUUCUAUAGCUGAACAUGCCAUCUUGAAUUCCUCGUCUACUUUGGCUCAACUUCCAACCUUAUUUAUUGCACUGAUAGUUAGCACAGUUUUAACAGCAGGCAUGGAUAUGAACUCACGAAUGAGUGGACUCUGUAAUUUUUAGGACAGGAUCCUAUGUUAGAACUGUAUAUGACGACACAGCCUGCAGCUAAACAGACUCUUAAGCAAACGAUAACCGAGAAGCUGAAUCACCACUGCAGCAAAGCAGGGUAAUAAGAAAUGCUAUCAGUACAGGGGGCAAUGGCACAUCCUAUCCUUGUAUAAUGUUGUCUAAUCUGUUCUUGUAUCUUUAACUAUGUCUAUAAAAUAAGUGAGUUUUCAUUUUGUCAUUCCAGUGACAUUUUUCAGUCAAACUAUCAUAAUCAAUCACAUAAUAUAUACAUGGUUAAUAUUAUACUGAAAAUAACCCUAACAAAUGUCAUAAAAAAAUAAAAUUAAGUGCUCCCACUGUCGCUAAAUAUAACGUUAUUUUGUAAUGUCCUGAUUAGAUAUUGUUGUCCAAACUAAUGAAAAUAUAUUAUAGUAAAAAAACAAAAUCUAACCGUGAAAAACUAAACAAUACCACGGUACUAUCUCUAUCCUCACUGUUUUUUUGUUACUAAAACAUGAAGAGAAUUAGUUUAUAUGACUAAAUUGUAAACUAUAAAAAUAUAUAAAAAUUUGGCCUAUUGUGAACGUUUUUUUUUAACAAUAAAAAUAUAUUUUUUAAGUUUUUUUUUAUAAAUAUAAAUUUAAUUUAUAAUUAUAAUUUAUAUAAAUUUAGGUAUUGUUUGGAAAUGGAGUGUUUUAUAAAAAAAUAAUUAUAAUUAAUUUUUUUUAUAUUUUUAAAUUGAUUUGAUGGCUUGAAAUUAAAAAUUAUUAUAAUAGAGUUUAAGAUUCAGAAAAAAAAAACCGUCGAUAUUAAUUGUUAUGCAUUUAUAUACGCACUUACAUGCCCCGGUACAGUAAAAUGUUUGAACCCUAAAAUUAAUUUCAAUUCAAAAUCAUCAGAAUAUAUAAAGAGAGGAAGGCCUAAUCAAUCGAUAUUUUGAGCAAAAGAGAGAAAUGAGCAACAGAAAGAAACCCACCGCAGCAAAAAAUGAAGAAGAAGACCCAGUGGAUCAACUUCUUCAAUCAGCACAAGACGAGUUGCUUCUAAAACUCUCUGUCGAUUCUCACAUGUCUCGUGUCUCUCCUGAUUACCUCCUCCCUGAU